GGUUGCGCUGAAGACCUGCUCUCUAGGCCACGCACGGAGGACGCGCGUUCCUCGCGGGCCCCGCGCCCGCCUAGGGGAAAGUCCCCGGACGCGCCGGCAGAGAGUGCCGCGCGCCGCCGGCGCCGCCCGCCCGCCCCGCAGCCUCACGCAGCGCCGCCGAGACGCCCGCCGGGCCGAGCGGGUGAGCGGGGGCGGGCCCUCGUCACGGCCACAGGCACGCAGGUAGUGCGCGUGCGCACCAACACAACGGGGCUCACUCUCAGCGCCGC
rnacentral:RNase_MRP_RNA from 1 species